GUGGUUGAGUAGCUCCUUGUGAAGAUGAUGUUUGAAUUUGAAAGCAGUUUUGAAAGAGGUGAGGCAGUUAGCCACGGGGAUCUCUGGGAGGAAAGCCUGGUUGGUGGUUUUUAUUUCCCUCCAAGACAGUCCCGAGUGCUCUAAAGUGGGCUGUCUAGCAAAGUGCUCCACUGGGUUCAGAAGCUGGGCUUUGCUCAGGUCCCACUCAUGAGUCGUGUGUCCUAAUCAGUUUGUUCUAGAGUACUCUAAAUAGCCCACCACCCUCACAAGCCCCCUGCCCCCAGAGCCCCUGCGUCGGCUCUCCCUGCUGUAGGAUAAUGGAUGUCGUGGAAUUGUCUGUUUAGGUGUCCAGCUUCUGCAGGAGGAAGUACAGAAGCUCCGAGAUUAGACCACACAGGGUCAAAACCUGCUCCUGCCGCUGACUGGCUGUCUGUCCUUCAUCAGGUCAUUUAACCUCUUUGACCAGUGCCUGGCAUAGAGCCUGGCCCGUGUAAGGAUGGUCGUGAGCAAUGGAGUGCAGUUUGUCCAGGAACACCCAGGAGAACACACCCGAAGCCUCACUGGAGGACUCAGCCUCCUCGUCUGGUUGAUUCAGAACUAUAACGGCAUGGCGCUCAGACUCUGUCAGUACGCAUUGGACUCUGGUGGCUAAUGUGCAAAGUCCAUAAUUACCCGGCCCUUCUGGAUGUCCCAGCAGGAACCAAGUGAAAUGUUGCCAACGCCAUUCUACGUGAAUGAAGGUGUCUGGAGUGCUUGCACCCAGAGAAGGUUGUGAGAUCGUUGUCAUCACCCAGACGUGGUAGCAGACACCUGCACUCACACUCAGAUGAAUCUGGGGCUGACCUGGGACCUCGACGCAGACAUCUGGUUGCAGCCAAAAGACAUCGUCCCUCACCUUAAAUUAAGGACGUUAACGUGAAAUUGACUGGUC
rnacentral:lncRNA from 1 species